rnacentral:misc_RNA from 1 species
GAUCAUUACUGAGUUUACGCUCUAUAACCCUUUGUGAACAUACCUAUAACUGUUGCUUCGGCGGGUAGGGUCUCCGCGACCCUCCCGGCCUCCCGCCCCCGGGCGGGUCGGCGCCCGCCGGAGGAUAACCAAACUCUGAUUUAACGACGUUUCUUCUGAGUGGUACAAGCAAAUAAUCAAAACUUUUAACAACGGAUCUCUUGGUUCUGGCAUCGAUGAAGAACGCAGCGAAAUGCGAUAAGUAAUGUGAAUUGCAGAAUUCAGUGAAUCAUCGAAUCUUUGAACGCACAUUGCGCCCGCCAGCAUUCUGGCGGGCAUGCCUGUUCGAGCGUCAUUUCAACCCUCAAGCUCUGCUUGGUGUUGGGGCCCUACAGCUGAUGUAGGCCCUCAAAGGUAGUGGCGGACCCUCCCGGAGCCUCCUUUGCGUAGUAACUUUACGUCUCGCACUGGGAUCCGGAGGGACUCUUGCCGUAAAACCCCCAAUUUUCCAAAGGUUGACCUCGGAUCAGGUAGGAAUACCCGCUGAACUUAAGCAUAUCAAUAAGCGGAGGAAAAGAAACCAACAGGGAUUGCCUCAGUAACGGCGAGUGAAGCGGCAACAGCUCAAAUUUGAAAUCUGGCCCUAGGCCCGAGUUGUAAUUUGCAGAGGAUGCUUUUGGUGCGGUGCCUUCCAAGUUCCCUAGAACGGGACGCCAGAGAGGGUGAGAGCCCCGUACAGUUGGACACCAAGCCUUUGUAAAGCUCCUUCGACGAGUCGAGUAGUUUGGGAAUGCUGCUCAAAAUGGGAGGUAUAUUUCUUCUAAAGCUAAAUACCGGCCAGAGACCGAUAGCGCACAAGUAGAGUGAUCGAAAGAUGAAAAGCACUUUGAAAAGAGGGUUAAACAGCACGUGAAAUUGUUAAAAGGGAAGCGCUUGUGACCAGACUUGCGUCCGGUGAAUCACCCAGCUCUCGCGGCUGGGGCACUUCGCCGGCUCAGGCCAGCAUCAGCUCGCUGUCGGGGACAAAAGCUUCAGGAACGUAGCUCUCUUCGGGGAGUGUUAUAGCCUGUUGCAUAAUACCCUUCGGCGGGCUGAGGUACGC